rnacentral:rRNA from 1 species
AUUGAACGCUGGCGGCAGGCUUAACACAUGCAAGUCGAACGAGUGGCGGACGGGUGAGUAAUGCUUGGGAACCUGGCUUAUGGAGGGGGAUAACUACGGGAAACUGUAGCUAAUACCGCUUACCAUGGGAUGAGCCCACGUGGGAUGAGGUAGUGGGGGGGGUAAAGGCUCACCAAGCCGACGAGGUCUAGCUGGUCUGAGAGGAUGACCAGCCACACGGGGACUGAGACACGGCCCAGACUCCUACGGGAGGCAGCAGUGGGGAAUAUUGCGCAAUGGGGGAAACCUGACGCAGCAAUGCCGCGUGAAUGAAGAAGGCCUUCGGGUUGUAAAGUUCUUUCGGUAGCGAGGCGGUAUCUACAGAGGAAGCACCGGCUAACUCCGUGCCAGCAGCCGCGGUAAUAC